rnacentral:rRNA from 1 species
UACGUAGGGGCCGAGCGUUGUCCGGAUUCAUUGGGCGUAAAGGGCGCGUAGGCGGCCAUUCAAGUGACGGGUGAAAGCCCUCGGCUUAACCGAGGAACUGCCUGUCAGACUGGAUGGCUUGAGACCGGGAGAGGUGAGUGGAAUUCCCAGUGUAGCGGUGAAAUGCGUAGAUAUUGGGAGGAACACCAGUGGCGAAGGCGGCUCACUGGACCGGAACUGACGCUGAGGCGCGAAAGCGUGGGGAGCAAACAGG